UCGCUCCUACCGAUUGAGUGAUCCGGUGAAUAAUUCGGACUGCAGCAUAGUUCAGCUUCUGAACAUUGCUGCGGGAAGUUUGGUGAACCUUAUCACUUAGAGGAAGGAG
rnacentral:rRNA from 1 species